GCAGGGAUAGGGAAGCGGUCAAACCUGCCAGGUUCAGGGCCUGGUCGCUUAGUGCGUUCGGGGGUUCGAAUCCUCCUCCCUGCA
rnacentral:tRNA from 1 species